rnacentral:rRNA from 1 species
UACAGAGGGUGCAAGCGUUAAUCGGAUUUACUGGGCGUAAAGCGUGCGUAGGCGGUUCGCUAAGUCGGUUGUGAAAUCCCUGGGCUUAACCUGGGAACUGCAGUCGAUACUGGCGGACUAGAGUACGGUAGAGGGUGGCGGAACUCCGGGUGUAGCGGUGAAAUGCGUAGAUAUCCGGAGGAACACCGGUGGCGAAGGCGGCAUCCUGGACCAACACUGACGCUGAGGAGCGAAAGCCAGGGGAGCCAAAGCGGGGAUUAAGCAAACC